GUGCCAGCCGCCGCGGUAAUACGGAGGGUGCAAGCGUUGCUCGGAAUUACUGGGCGUAAAGCGUACGCAGGCGGCACGAUAUGUCGGGUGUGAAAGCCCUGGGCUCAACCCAGGAACGGCAUCCGAAACUGUCGGGCUAGAGUUCGGGAGAGGGAAGUGGAAUUCCUGGUGUAGAGGUGAAAUUCGUUGAUAUCAGGAGGAACACCGGCGGCGAAAGCGGCUUCCUGGCCCGAUACUGACGCUCAUGUACGAAAGCGUGGGGAGCAAACAGGAUUAGAAACCCUGGUAGUCC
rnacentral:rRNA from 1 species